UCUGUAACACCUGUGUUGAAUGGUAACAGAUAGACAAUUAUCAAUGGUUUCGCGUUACAAGUGAUUAAAAUUUACACCGCACUCUGUCAACUCCUUAUUAAAUAGAAAUAAAUUUGUGACGACUUCCUAAAGUGGUCUGAUUGGAGUCAACUCACCUAAAACCGGGGAAUAGGCGCCAGAAGAGUCAGUGCAUGGGUGCAUAGUGCAAGGACAACCGAAUCAAAACAACGCACCAUCCUGCGAUGUUAUCGAAAAAGCUCCCCGGAAGGGUUGGAACGUGCUUUGGCGGCUAACAUAAACCGGAAACGAGUCCGUCGAGUUCACAAAAUUAAAUAAAGCAACAAAAGUGCGUGCGUACAACUAGUCUACUGCGAUUAGGUCGACGGACUCGCGGCCAACUUGAUGGUGGCUUCGCCACUGCGCUGCGCAUUUGUCCCGGAUUCCCCGCUCUCUUGGUGAUUACGGACAAUUUUCGCCAAUUCCGGGUCUCAUAGAUUAUGUAAGAGGGAUGAAACGCACACGUGGGCGACCAAGUGAUCGAUCAAAUUUUGAAUUUGGAAAAAGGUAAGUAAAAUGUGGCAUGACCCAGUUUCUAAUAGCAACUACAGACGGCUUCAAUCAAAUUUAAAAGCUCACUCAGACAACAUUUAAACAGCAAGAGCACGACUUACAAUUUUAACUUUACAUUUGAUGGCUUUCUGGUGUCUGUCAUCAUUUAUACUUUCUUCGUUUAUUUUGGGCAGUUUGUUCAUUUUUUAGUUGGUUCAUUCUAAUUGUUGACUACUUGUGCAUGAUGAUAGAAGAAUGCACUUAUACUAACAUCUGAAAUCGUUAUGCGCGAAGACAUUCGAUAUCAACCCAUCAAUUCAAUUACCGACGUCGUUCAUCUCAAAGCUCAACUAAUUCAACUUGCAGCUUGUUUCAGAUUUUUAUCUAGGUCACACAAGCGGCCAGAAGAAGCUUUGAGGCAUCUUUUGAUUUUUAGUCACGUAUUACACGCCCCAGUCGCUUACGCAUACUGAAGGGUGGCUAUUUUUGUCCCUCGGAACCCUACAUCCGUAGCGCAUUAUUUCACAUCAAGUGUUCCGAAUGGUGCCCUAAUCAUUUCAGAAAAAAACAAAAAUACCAAUUUUGAAAAAAAUCAAAUGAUCGUAAUGAGGUAAACCUGGGGGUCGUUCAUCCCCUCCAAACACCUGUUUCUGCAACCGAACAAAGAAGCAUCGGGACGCCACCAACGCCGAUCGAAGUCCACUACUACCCUUAUGGAAAAAGUUCGAUCCAAAACAAGUUUUAGAGGGAAAUUGUUGCAACUAUUUUUGCGUUUUUUGAACUUACCUAAUCUCCAUAUUUCCACCCUUCAAAGCAAUCUUGUGUCCAUCGACUAUGAAAUCACCAUUUAAUUAAUUGCGAUAUGUAUCUUUGAUUUAUUAUUAUUAUUGUUUACUUUUA